rnacentral:misc_RNA from 1 species
UCUCCGUAGGUGAACCUGCGGAGGGAUCAUUACAAGUGACCCCGGUCUUACCACCGGGAUGUUCAUAACCCUUUGUUGUCCGACUCUGUUGCCUCCGGGGUGACCCUGCCUUCGGGCGGGGGCUCCGGGUGGACACUUCAAACUCUUGCGUAACUUUGCAGUCUGAGUAAACUUAAUUAAUAAAUUAAAACUUUUAACAACGGAUCUCUUGGUUCUG